rnacentral:lncRNA from 1 species
CAUACCCCUUCCGCUCCAUUUCUACUUCCUCUGUUUGACAAGAACUUAGAUUGUCAAGGUAUAAUAACUGAGUUUACACUAAUUAGUUGAAAUGUCUACAACAUCCGGUAUAUCCUCCAGAAAUGCUCUCUUCAAUAACAUCGAGGCAGGCUGUAUAAUGUGCAUGCCUGGAGAAGUCUUCAAAACAUGUUGUCUAGUAGUUUCUAGGAUAGCAGAUAACUCAUGUAUAUGUUUAAUUUUAUCUAUCCUUUGAAGUCUAUUAGUAUGCGCUUUACGUCCCUUUGCAAUAUGUAAUGCCCAUAUACGAGAAAUUACUAAGAGGUCUUAAGAAGAUACCACAUCAUAGAUAAUACCAACUCCUUCCCUUCAUCAGAAAUAUUGAUCUUGGAUGAUUGUCACAUGGUAAUAACUAGUUUUUAGUACAAAUAUAGAUGGAAAAGAAAAAAUACAACACCUUAUUCUUUUUGCAUUUAGAUAACCUUUUAACAACGCAAAAAUGUCAAUUAGUUCAAGAAGAUGAAUGGGGCUAAGCAAUCUGCCGAAGCUGUGGGAUGUAAAAAUACAUCGGUAGGGACGGAGAUCGAGAAAGCCCUAUACUCGACCUACUUCCAUCUUAAAGCAUUGAAAGAAAGGCAGGUAGCUUUGCCGAGUUUAAACAUUAUUAAAUGUUACUGCAAGAAGCUAUAUAAGAAUGGGCUAUCUUUUUUGCCAAUUUCAACAGAACUAAAUCGGCUUCGACCCAUUGCAUUUGCUAUGUAAGAAUUGGGGUAUUUCAAUGGCCUUUAAUGUCCAAACAAGCCAUGGAAGACAUUGAGUUCCGUCGAGCAUAUGUGCAACUUCAUCAGAAAAAUAAUGCAUUAAGGAUGAAGCAAGAUCUUGGUCAAGCAACAAUAAUUUAAAGAAGCAAGACAUUUUAACCUCCACAACUAAAUAAUUCCAACCUUCAGUUCAGGUAGAGCAAGUUCAGCUCUCGAUGUUGCAAUUCGAGCACUGAACCACUAGAAUAAACCAAUGAUAUAAACAUGUCAGCUUAAAAACUGAAGGCUACAAAAGUGUAAAACCAUAAAGUUGAACAGUACAAUUUACGAAAAUAACAAACCAUAGCCUAUUCUAAGCACCCACCACUGGCAAAUCCUUGAAAAGUAGCAACAAAAGGAUUCUUUCUAUCUAGAAUAACCAACAUUAGAAAAAAUAAUUUAUUGAUAAUUUAUCUAUGUCAGUAUUUAUACACUAAAGAACAUCUCUAGAUUCUCAAAAACAUGACAAAAGACUUAGGUACGGAAACAAAUUAGCAACCUACUUAAAAAGCCCAAUUCCUAUAGUCACAAGCAUGAUAUGGAGAACAGAGUUCUCAAUGAUUCUCAAAAUCUGGAAGAAAAUUGUGAGCUUCCAACAACAAGCCUUAACUUCUGGCGAAGAAAAAGAAAAACUCACUAAGGUAGAGAACAAACUAUACGGGGAUGAAAAAGAGCGAGCAAAAUCAAAGUAGUGGAAGGGGAUAUUGAAGUAUUAGUGGUAAUAUUAGCAAUUACAGAGCAAAUUACACGGGAGUGCUCUGCGAGUAAACCUCUGGGUAUUGGACGACAAUGGAGAUACUAUCAAGGUGGGUUGAAGGAACCAAAACCCUAAUUCAAAGCCUUAAUCGAAGUACUCAAAUAAUCAAAACCCUAAACUGGAAACUACGGAAAAUAAAGGGGCAGGAGGUUACCAUUUCAAGACUUAAUCAACCAUUAAUGUAGAAGCAACGGUAACAUCGGCAAUGGAGGUGGUGGAAGAUGCGGCAGUAAAAAUAGAAAUUUCUUCAGCCCCAGCAAAUCGAUAGAGGUGUGGGAUUAAAAAUGGGCAAAUAUUUACUGUGCGUCCUUUUUCCUUUUAGAAAAUAGGAGAAAAUAUUUCAUUAGGAAAAAUAAUGGAGGGAAACUUCUAAUGAAAAUAUUGGUUGGAAAAGUUUAGAGCGCGCUUAUAAAAGGUUGCUUUUAGGAUUAAAAAAUGGGACGCUCUAAAAACGUUGUAAUAUAGGUGAGUAUGUGUUGCCAAAUGUUAUUUGAAUUGGCAACACUUAUAAUGCGUUGUCUAUAUACUCAAAGAGAACUCUUAACCAGCGUGGUCUAAAC